UACGUAGGUGGCCCUGUAAGUCAGUGGUGAAAAUCUGCCGCUUAACGGUAGGGGUGCCAAUGAUACUGCGGGGCUUGAGUACAGUUGAGGUAGGUGGAAUGUGUAGUGUAGCGGUGAAAUGCAUAGAUAUUACACAGAACUCCGAUUGCGAAGGCAUCUUACUAAACUGAGACUGACACUGAUGUACGAAAGCGUGGGGAUCGAACA
rnacentral:rRNA from 1 species